AGGAUGAACGCUAGCGGCAGGCCUAAUACAUGCAAGUCGAGGGGUAUGGGCAGCUUGCUGCCCAGAGACCGGCGCACGGGUGCGUAACACGUAUGUAACCUACCCUUGUCUGGGGGAUAGCCCCUCGAAAGAGGGAUUAACACCGCAUGAAACCAUGGCACGGCAUUGUGCAAUGGUCAAAUAUUUAUAGGACAGGGACGGGCAUGCGGGACAUUAGCUUGUUGGUAAGGUAACGGCUUACCAAGGCCACGAUGUCUA
rnacentral:rRNA from 1 species